UACGAAGGGGGCUAGCGUUGUUCGGAUUUACUGGGCGUAAAGGGCGCGUAGGCGGAUUUUUAAGUCAGGGGUGAAAUCCUGGAGCUCAACUCCAGAACUGCCUUUGAUACUGAAGAUCUUGAGUCCGGGAGAGGUGAGUGGAACUGCGAGUGUAGAGGUGAAAUUCGUAGAUAUUCGCAAGAACACCAGUGGCGAAGGCGGCUCACUGGCCCGGUACUGACGCUGAGGCACGAAAGCGUGGGGAGCAAACAGG
rnacentral:rRNA from 1 species